GGUUACUAGUGGUAUCACAAUAACAAAACUGCUAUUAAGUCACAAUCAAAUGCUACUGUCCUGUUACUGGUACAAAAGAUAUCCUAAAAAGGUAGAAUUUUACUGAGUUCAGAAGAAAACUUAAAAAGCAAGAAUCACAAAGUGGGAGAACCUUUCAGGACUAAUGGAAAGGCAGCACUACUGCAGAGAAUGGGAGGUGGAGUAUGAUGUAUGAAGAAGGACAAAAAGGACAGUGUAGUUGGGAAAGGGGCAGAGUAGAGCAUAAGAAAGAGCGAAGGAUCAAGCAUGAGGUCAAAGUUAUGAACCUUGAAGGAUGGAGGAAUGAUGAUUUUCAAAACCAUGGAAGCUGACAAAGUGACUGAAAGAAGAUCUUGAAGGAGUCCAGGAAUGUCUUAAAAGGUAUGCUCAUAGUUAGUACUGAGUGAUGAACCAGCAAAGGUAGAAAGAAGAGCUGGUUAGAAAAAGACAAAACCAGGAGAAAAUAUUUCCUAAUACCCCACAAACAAAACAAACCAAAACAAACAAACAAAAAAACAGAAGAGAUAAAACCCAGGUAGUUAAUAGCAUUAAUGUAGCAGAAUGGUCAAGAAGAAUGAGAACU